rnacentral:rRNA from 1 species
UACGUAGGGUGCUAGCGUUGUCCGGAUUUAUUGGGCGUAAAGAGCGUGUAGGCGGCCAGGUAGGUCCGCUGUGAAAGUCCGAGGCUCAACCUCGGAAUGUCGGCGGAAACCCUCUGGCUAGAGUCCGGAAGAGGAGAGUGGAAUUCCCGGUGUAGCGGUGAAAUGCGCAGAUAUCGGGAGGAACACCAAUGGCGAAGGCAGCUUGCUGGGACGGUACUGACGCUGAGACGCGAAAGCGUGGGGAGCAAACAGG